CGUUGAAGCAUCGGUUCCCCUACGAUCACCGAAGUUAAGCAACGUCGAGCCUUGUCAGUACCUAAAUGGGUGACCACUUGGGAAUACCAGAUGUUAUA
rnacentral:rRNA from 1 species